CCUACGGGAGGCAGCAGUGGGGAAUUUUGGACAAUGGGCGAAAGCCUGAUCCAGCAAUGCCGCGUGUGGGAAGAAGGCCUUCGGGUUGUAAACCACUUUUGUACGGAACGAAACGGUUCGCUUUAAUACAGUGGGCUAAUGACGGUACCGUAAGAAUAAGCACCGGCUAACUACGUGCCAGCAGCCGCGGUAAUACGUAGGGUGCGAGCGUUAAUCGGAAUUACUGGGCGUAAAGCGUGCGCAGGCGGUUAUAUAAGACAGUUGUGAAAUCCCCGGGGCUCAACCUGGGAAUUGCAUCUGUGACUGUAUAGCUAGAGUACGGUAGAGGGGGAUGGAAUUCCGCGUGUAGCAGUGAAAUGCGUAGAUAUGCGGAGGAACACCGAUGGCGAAGGCAAUCCCCUGGACCUGUACUGACGCUCAUGCACGAAAGCGUGGGGAGCAAACAGGAUUAGAUACCCUGGUAGUCCACGCCCUAAACGAUGUCAACUGGUUGUUGGGUGCAUUAGUACUCAGUAACGAAGCUAACGCGUGAAGUUGACCGCCUGGGGAGUACGGCCGCAAGGUUGAACUUAAGGAAUUGACGGCUGAGACCGNGCGAGACGACGACGAGGGAGAGG
rnacentral:rRNA from 1 species